AGAACGAACGCUGGCGGCAGGCCUCAAACAUGCAAGUCUAGGGGGGUAGCGAUACCCACCGGCGGACGGGUGCGUAACGCGUGGGAAUAUACCUUUCGGUACGGAACAACUGCGGGAAACUGCAGCUAAUACCGUAUACGUCCUAACGGAGAAAGAUUUAUCGCCGAAGGAUUAGCCCGCGUCCGAUUAGCUAGUUGGUGAGGUAAUGGCUCACCAAGGCUCCGAUCGGUAGCUGUUCUGAGAGGAAGAUCAGCCACACUGGGACUGAGACACGGCCCAGACUCCUACGGGAGGCAGCAGUUGGGAAUCUUGGACAAUGGGGAACCCUGAUCCAGCCAUGCCGCGUGAGUGAUGAAGGCCUUCGGGUUGUAAACUCUUUCGACGGGACGAUAAUGACGGUACCGUAGAAGAGCUCCGGCUAACUUCGUGCCAGCAGCCGC
rnacentral:rRNA from 1 species